rnacentral:rRNA from 1 species
GACGAACGCUGGCGGCGUGCCUAAUACAUGCAAGUAGAACGCUGAAGGAGGAGCUUGCUUCUCUGGAUGAGUUGCGAACGGGUGAGUAACGCGUAGGUAACCUGCCUGGUAGCGGGGGAUAACUAUUGGAAACGAUAGCUAAUACCGCAUAAUAGUAGAUGUUGCAUGACAUUUGCUUAAAAGGUGCAAUUGCAUCACUACCAGAUGGACCUGCGUUGUAUUAGCUAGUUGGUGGGGUAACGGCUCACCAAGGCGACGAUACAUAGCCGACCUGAGAGGGGGGUCGGCCACACUGGGACUGAGACACGGCCCAGACUCCUACGGGAGGGAGCAGUAGGGAAUCUUCGGCAAUGGACGGAAGUCUGGACGAGCAACGCCGCGUGAGUGAAGGAGGUUCUCGGGUCGUAAAGCUCUGUUGUAAGAGAAGAAAGAGUGUGAGAGUGGAAAGUUCACACUGUGACGGUAUCUUACCAGAAAGGGACGGCUAACUACGUG